GACGUAGGGCGCGAGCGUUGUCCGGAUUUAUUGGGCGUAAAGCGCGUGUAGGCGGCUUUGCAAGUCGGGUGUGAAAGCCCUCAGCUCAACUGAGGAAGUGCGCCCGAAACUGCAGAGCUUGAGUACCGGAGAGGAUGGCGGAAUUCCCCAAGUAGAGGUGAAAUUCGUAGAUAUGGGGAGGAACACCGGUGGCGAAGGCGGCCAUCUGGACGGAUACUGACGCUGAGACGCGAAAGCGUGGGUAGCAAACAGG
rnacentral:rRNA from 1 species